GAGAUGCCGCAGCGGCGGCGGCACGAGCCGGGAGCCGAAUGACUUUCCCGUGAUGCUCGGCGGUCGAGCGGCAGCGGCCGCGAGAGGCAUGGCGCGCUGGGCGGCCGGCAGAACCCCUCCGGCGAGGCUCGGCCGGCGCGGGCCCUGAGCACGCUCGCCCCCCCACAGCAGCACGGCGGCCGCCCUGGCGACGCCCCAGGCAUGCCUCGCCGGAAGCAGCACCGGCCUCAGCGGAUGCAAUGUAAGUGAACCCGCCUUCUUUCCUGAACCGAGGCGCAGAGACACUUGUGGGAUCGGCAAGCCUGACCUUGAUGCGGAUCGGGUGGUGCAUGGGUGAAAAUGGCUGCAGGCGCCGACGCGUCCAGUGGGCACGGCGGAAAAGGAAGGCGCAGUCGUACCGUCUGACCGCAGAGCUGCUGCCUGCGCCGCUCUUUUCGGCCGGUGUUCCUCCGCUCUUCCGCUAUCAGGACGCGGCUGCUCGAGAGAAUAGCGUGCAGGGCGGUCAUCGUGUGCCGCAGUUAUGAGCAGAGACUCGAGUUCCCCCUGUUUUGGUUAUUAUGGCAGUUACUCUUAAGGAGACGAGAUGGCCGACAGGAGCGGAUGCGAGCAACUGGGUGGUCCACCUCUCUUGAGGGGCUCUUUCUCCUUGAUAAUGUCUGUCCCAUUAAAACCCUGGAUUGCCCGUGGCGCAAACAGAGAAAUAUCUUCGUCGGUUGUUGACUGGGAGACGUUUUCACAGAGCGCGCGUAAUGCAGUCCUCACUUGAGGGGGCAGCUUAAAUUAUACUGGGGCAUCAUGUUGUUAAACCUUGUAUGUACCGAUAAACGUAUGUGCCUUAUAAGUGGGUUCGCAAUUUUCAACAUUUCGCCUUUACGAUGUGCCGUCCUUCGCCAGCUGUCUGAUUGGACUAUGACUGGACUCCGGCUGUGCUUGUUUUUCGUCGCUGUAAGGACCUUUAGUAAACGUCACAUAGUUACUUCCUGCGUAGUGACAUAGCCCGUUGAAAGUUCUUAAAGCAUUCGCUUUUUUUUCUCUUCUCGAUUUGAAGGCGGAAGCCAAAUUCAGGACGUUACCUUUGCGGUGGUUAGGCUUUCAUUACUCCACUAAACUUACCUUCUCGCUGUCAACGAUGCGUGGUAGCGAGUCGGUGUCGACAGAUUGGUACAGUAUAUUUACCCACACGAUGCAGAUCCAUGGAGCCAAGUGACCAUAACGUCAGGCUUUUGUAUGCGGGGCCUGAACCUCCGCUGUAGUUGGAAGCAAGCACUGCAAACAGUAGGAAAGCAGCAACGUACGAUGUCAUGAGUGUCGAGUCUGUUUGGUUCGUACCGAAACCAAAAAUAUAAAAUGCGCGAAAUAAAACAUACGGCAAAGAGGUCCCUUGCCAUCAUGUGCGGCACUUUGCCCUAAAACAUGACGCCAUAAAAUUCUGGACACUCUGUGCAGCCUUCCCGCUGCACAUGUUUCGCUCUGAGCUUCUCAUUCCGGUUUGACUAAGGCAAACACUAAAAGCUGAUUUAGUGUUUCUAGACCAUUGGCUAUUCACUCUGGAAAAAAAAAAAGAAAACUUGGCCUACGGCCAACAACGGGGCUAUAGAAAAGAGCACUUGCGGUUUUCGAAAUGUUUUUGGAAAUUACAAAAAUAUUAGGCUCAUACUAAACGUUCGUGGCUGAGCCCACUGUUAAAUAGUUUAAAUGCUACAGGUAGAGUACACGUGUUGUGAAAGUUCGAUUUCGUUAUAUGCUUUAGUGUUCUGUUAUGUACAUAGUUUUAGAUACGUCAUCCGUCUCGUCUGUAAAUCUCUCAACUUAUGCAAGUGUUUCGAGAUUAUUUUGUGCGAUUACACUACGGAGCUGUGUGUGUCUGUGAGUGUCCUUUUGCUUGCUUCUGUACCAUCCUUUAGACGUGCGCGAAACUUCACAAACGUGCAUAAUAUUUGAUUGUAUCGAGUGCCUUCCCGCGUUUUUUUGGGGGGUUUUCAGUUACGUUGAUUCCCGGCGAAGUGGAGAAGCCUGUGCCAAUAAAGACAUCAACUUCUCUUUUAGUUUCAUAAACAUAAUUAAAGAAAAUGGCUUAUGAGGCAGCGCACAUGUGCGCUGUAUUCUGUAUGUGAGAUGCGACAGCCGCGCAUCGUGGGUAUCGUUAGGCAGGCAGUGGAUACGACGACGUACAGAAGGUAGCCACCACUGUCACUGUUAACACUGCAUAUGGCACUUUCACCUCAACAGAGAGCUUUGUUUCUUCCAUAUGUCGCAGCAGCGAUUCCGGGUCGACUUUGAUCCAGGGUAGAUUUGUGAUUCAAGAGGGGACGUUCUCGUUUAUAUGGAUAGAGACGGUGAGAAAUGGUAUGGGAAAGGCAGGGAGGUUAACUGGAAGAGAUUCUGGUUUGCCAUCCCGCACGGGAGGAAGGGUAAGGGGAAAUGAAAGACGGAAAAAAUAGAGACGAGAUAAAGCAAAGGCACGAAAAUUAAUACGUUUAGGGUUAUAACUAGAAUUCAAAGAGAGAGCCCCUGCAUGCAUUGACCUUUUAAAAUGUCUACAGUCGUUCUGACGAAAAAAUGUCCCAAGGCCCUGGCUAGAGCAUGCUAUAAUGAUAGAGUCAAACAUUGUCGCAGAUAAGGACGGGAAGUAACAUUUGCCUUGCGAACUAGACACUUGGUAUACAAAAGCUCAUUGGCUCGCUCUAAUCAGACCGCAGGUUUUGGGCUCUAAACCUGUCGAUAUCUUACACCAAAAAGGCCGAAACGGCCAUCCUUAUGAAGCUCGAAUUAUCGGUGACGUACCAGCGAGCUGCGAAAGCUUAAUGGAGGGAACCGAAUUAAAAUUGUUGUUCACCCUUAUUUUGCAAAAGUAGGAGUCUAUAGCUACUUUGUUAAUGAACCCUAUCACUGAUAUUGAUUACUACACAUGUUAAGCACGCCCUACGAAUGAAAUGUUCAGUUCAUUGAUCUUUGACAGAAAAAAGCUGUCGCAGUUUUAGAAAGGACUUCCCUGUGCAAAAAAAAAAAAAAAAAAAAAGAAAGGGAAGAAAAAGAAAGAAAAAAUCCGCGUAGUAAGUAGAACGCGCCAAAUUCAAAUAUUUCGCUACAUGAGCUAGCCUCUCCUAGUAUACAUCUAUAGCGGAAAGCCUGCGCGCUCUGACUCGGGCGUCAUCUGUCAGGCCCGCUCUCCCGUUGAAGGCGCAUGCCCUUUCAGAGACCUGGUGGCCGUUACGUUCAACUGACAGAAGGCGCGCUUUAUACCAGUAAUAUAUCGCGUUGCAAUGAAAAGUUCCACACAAACACCGAGUCGCAAUGAGACUCUUUACACUCUAAAUCUAAGCAUUAAGUCAAGUUGUAUUAGUAAAUCACUCGUCAGCAAUAGCGAAACGGCUAGCGAUAUUUAUCGUCAGGUUAAACUCCCCGCCUUCCGCAUCUAAUUUCUCUCUCUCUCUUACCCCGAGGAGAACCUUUGCAUCAGCCCGAAAGGACACACAAACGGAAGCGGGGGAGCGAUGCCCCACUGAUGAUCCUGCGCCAGCCUACCGUGACGUCAUAUAGGUUUUGGGGUUUUAACAGCGUCUGUUUGUGUCUACCUAAUUAUUUAUCGCUAAAGAAGGGCUACAUUCAGAGCGAGCGAGUAUCAACCUUCUCGAAUACGAAUAGCAAGUAUCGAAUAUUCAAGUGCAGGCGCGCGUACUCACACCAGGAAUAUUUAUUUCAGUAAAAUUAUGUACCACUACUGUACUGAAUAGUGCAAAAAAAGAAAGCAGCUAUCAGGGACGAAGGAUACCCGCCGUGGUUGCUCAGUGGCUAUGGUGUUGGGCUGCUGAGCACGAGGUCGCGGGAUGGAAUCCCGGCCACGGCGGCCGCAUUUCGAUGGGGGCGAAAUGCGAAAACACACGUGUGCUUAGGUUUAGGUGCACGUUAAAGAACCCCAGGUGGUCGAAAUUUCCGGAGUCCUCCACUACGGCGUGCCUCAUAAUCAGAGAGUGGUUUUGGCACGUAAAACCCCAUAAUUUAAUUUUUUUUAAGGGACGAAGGAUGAGUUUGAAACGGGAGCUCAAUCAUCGUCAGUAAAAAAAAAAAAAAAAAACUGCAUUUAUAGUCUUUCAAAAACUUGAAAGCCUGGCUGCAAAGAAGCUUUUCAAGAAAGAAUGACUGUUGUAUGACUAUAGCUUCCCGAAAACGCUAAGUAAAUGUUCGCAAAAAAAAAAAAAAAAAAA